GACGAACGCUGGCGGCGUGCCUAAUACAUGCCAGUUGAGCGAUGAAGAUUGGUGCUUGCACCAAUUUGAAGAGCAGCGAACGGGUGAGUAACGCGUGGGGAAUCUGCCUUUGAGCGGGGGACAACAUUUGGAAACGAAUGCUAAUACCGCAUAACAACUUUAAACAUAAGUUUUAAGUUUGAAAGAUGCAAUUGCAUCACUCAAAGAUGAUCCCGCGUUGUGUUAGCUAGUUGGUGAGGUAAAGGCUCACCAAGGCGAUGAUACAUAGCCGACCUGAGAGGGUGAUCGGCCACAUUGGGACUGAGACACGGCCCAAACUCCUACGGGAGGCAGCAGUAGGGAAUCUUCGGCAAUGGACGAAAGUCUGACCGAGCAACGCCGCGUGAGUGAAGAAGGUUUUCGGAUCGUAAAACUCUGUUGGUAGAGAAGAACGUUGGUGAGAGUGGAAAGCUCAUCAAGUGACGGUAACUACCCAGAAAGGGACGGCUAACUACGUG
rnacentral:rRNA from 1 species